rnacentral:rRNA from 1 species
GAUGAACGCUGGCGGCGUGCCUAAUACAUGCAAGUCGAACGGGGAGUAGCAAUACUCUUAGUGGCGAACGGGUGAGUAACGCGUUGGUACCUGCCCCGAAGCGGGGGAUAACGGACCGAAAGGUCCGCUAAUACCCCAUGUGCUCGGUAACGAGUAAAGGUGAAAACCACUUUGGGAGGGGCCUGCGUCCCAUCAGCUAGUUGGUAAGGUAACGGCUUACCAAGGCGAUGACGGGUAGGGGACCUGAGAGGGUGGCCCCCCACAAUGGAACUGAAACACGGUCCAUACACCUACGAGUGGCAGCAGUAGGGAAUAUUGGUGAUGGGCGCAAGCCUGAACCAGCAGCGCCGCGUGUGCGAUGACGGCCUUCGGGUUGUAAAGCACUUUUGACUGGGACGAGGAAGGACGGUACCGGUCGAAUCAGCCUCGGCUAACUACGU